rnacentral:rRNA from 1 species
UACGAACUGUGCGAACGUUAUUCGGAAUCACUGGGCUUACAGGGUGCGUAGGCGGCUCAACAAGUCAGGUGUGAAAGCCCCCGGCUCAACCGGGGAACUGCGCUUGAAACUGUUAGGCUCGAGUCAGCUAGAGGUACACGGAACUUCCAGUGGAGCGGUGAAAUGUGUUGAUAUUGGAAGGAACACCGGUGGCGAAAGCGGCGCGCUGGACCUCUUCUGACGCUGAGGCGCGAAAGCCAGGGGAGCAAACGGG